AUUGGCACUGGAAACAAUUUCUUAAAUUGGAACAUUGAAGAAAGCUCUGGCAAAUGGCCUGUUGCAGAAUUGACACUUUUGCAGACUACAUCAAAGACUCUCAUCAAAUACAAUUGACCUGUGGAAAGGACUUUAUGAUCUGAAAAUAAGAGACAAUCCAUGUAACCGGCCAGGACAGAUGUCUCUGAAUUCACUCCAAAGUUCAGGACGCAUGUUUGAAACUACAUUCUGUAUUUUGCAUCUGACAGUAAUGUACCUGUGUUCUCCUUGCUGCUGCAUGGAAUAGUGCAUGAA